rnacentral:rRNA from 1 species
AGUGAACGCUGGCGGUAGGCCUAACACAUGCAAGUCGAACGGCAGCACAGUAAGAGCUUGCUCUUACGGGUGGCGAGUGGCGGACGGGUGAGGAAUACAUCGGAAUCUACUUUUUCGUGGGGGAUAACGUAGGGAAACUUACGCUAAUACCGCAUACGACCUACGGGUGAAAGCAGGGGAUCUUCGGACCUUGCGCGAUUGAAUGAGCCGAUGUCGGAUUAGCUAGUUGGCGGGGUAAAGGCACACCAAGGCGACGAUCCGUAGCUGGUCUGAGAGGAUGAUCAGCCACACUGGAACUGAGACACGGUCCAGACUCCUACGGGAGGCAGCAGUGGGGAAUAUUGGACAAUGGGCGCAAGCCUGAUCCAGCCAUACCGCGUGGGUGAAGAAGGCCUUCGGGUUGUAAAGCCCUGUUGUUGGGAAAGAAAAGCAGCAGGUUAAUACCCCGCUGUUCUGACGGUACCCAAAGAAUAAGCACCGGCUAACUUCGUG